UUCCCGAACCCCUUUGUCUUGAACCAGUUGGGAGCCAGGUUUCACCCACUGUCCCAGCAAAUUAGACCCUUCUUUGGCCUGAAAGGCAUUUAUCCACCCUCAGUCCCUCGAUGGAAAAUCUCUGCCGUCCCUGCUGGUUUGUAAUUUUGCAUAAUUGGUGUCCCUCUCCUUGAUCCGGAGGGUAAUGCAUUCAGGUACAGAACGCUCACUGUCGUCAUGGCAGUCCCUGUCCCCCAUAGCCCUGAUUUCAUCCGGCACUGAACUAUCAGACAGACUCUAUUAAUUGCAUCAAGACUUCACAGCAAGGGUGGUCUAAUCUGCUCUUUCCCAUUGGAUGUCGCCGGUUAUAAAACCAACACCAAAUGAAUACUGUGAUAUAAUUGAAGGAGAAAAAAAUUCUGCUGUUAAAACCUACUAUUUACUUGCAGAUAGAAACAAGUCCUGAAAAACUGGAACCUGGCUGACUGGAGCAAAAGGAAAGCCACCCAGAGACAAACCAGGCACUAAAAGCCCAGAGAACUCCAAAAUCAUGAAAUUCCAUUUACUGUGAAGUAUUUUGACGGUACCAAACUGUUUGAAUACACUACAGAACUGUGCAGACUUGCGGUUGUGGUCAGAUUGAAACUUCACAGUGAAGCUGUUCUGUAAGUCAGUACUUUUGAGGAGAAAGACAAAAAGAAAAAACAACCUCUCUAAUGAAAACGGUUUGCCCUUCAAGACUCGAGCCACACCAAGUCCCCAGUGACCAAAUUCAGAAGAAGAAUCGCUUUAAUGCUUUCACCCCCAUGAAUUUCAACAUGAAUUUUGGGGCUCCAUAUCCUGCAACCCCUUCUGAAAGAUAAUUAUCACUGGCAAAGAGCAUUUCAUGCUGAGUCCGUACAUCCUACAGAAACAGAGACAAAAAAUGAGGAGGGAUGAAGAGUUGUGUGAGGCAGAUCAACUGCUGCGCUGUACUUCUGCUGCAGUGGUCUGUGGUACACUGUGACUGAGGGUAGGCUCUACUGGAAAGUUAGUGGGAGGGAGGUUUCUCAAUUUCUUCAUUUUUAUUUUCACAUCAAUAAAUGUGAAGCUGGGAUGGGAA